rnacentral:rRNA from 1 species
CACGUAGGGCGCAAGCGUUGUCCGGAUUUAUUGGGCGUAAAGAGCGUGUAGGCGGCCAGGUAGGUCAGCUGUGAAAACUCGAGGCUCAACCUCGAGACGCCGGUUGAAACCAUCUGGCUAGAGUCCGGAAGAGGAGAGUGGAAUUCCUGGUGUAGCGGUGAAAUGCGCAGAUAUCAGGAAGAACACCCGUGGCUAAGGCGGCUCUCUAGUACGGUACUGACGCUGAGACGCGAAAGCGUGGGGGAGCGAACAGG